rnacentral:rRNA from 1 species
UUUUGACCUCAAAUCAGGUAGGAUUACCCGCUGAACUUAAGCAUAUCAA